UUAAUGGGUGACGACAUUUUUUCCAGGUGGUGUAAUGAAAGCCAACAAGUUCCUACUCGACUCAGUGCCUGUCAAAUUCAAACAGCAGGUGUGAGUAAAAAGCAUUUCUAAUACAGACAGCUGGUGUUCUUGUAAAUUCUCAAACAGGCAAAUAAAAUAGAAACUAAGAGAAAUCACCACCUUGUCUGAGAAAUGUAUCUGUAGCUGAAACAAAGUGACACAGUUCUGUUCACACAGUAGUAGAGGAAAUAAUUUCUUCAUUAUUGCUUCAAACGCAAAACGGACAUGGGGAAAAGGGAACGGGGAAAACAGAUUUCAGAGCUUUCUGGGUUUAUGGUAGUUUAAAUAGAGAUUUCUGCAAUCUCUCGCCUUAAACUUCUCAGUGGCUUUGAACAUCAGUCUCUUCCUUUAGAAACCGAAACACAGCAUUGCAAUCCUCACUGGGGACAGCCACUGGGUAUUUUAAACCUACAGAGCAAAUGUCACAGCAGCUAAAGACCCAGCAGCUGUGACGCAAGAGAGAACGUCUCAUUGUGCAACGACUAUAAAGCUCCAUUCUACAACGCUGAGACUUUGCUCUGAUGGAAUUGUUUGUUUGACUAAGGCUUAGUCAAACAGGCAGGCCUGAGCUCUAUAUACUCCAUAGAUGUGUAUGCCCAAAGGUGUAUGUGCACUUGUGGGGUUUGGUAUAAGGAUCUUCUUUAAAACAACUUAGCUAAAAUGACACAAACCCCUACACAAUCUGCACUCAGUUGAAACUUGGAUUUUACUAUUUCCCUUAAUUAAAUCCAUACUGUUAAUAACAAGCAAUUCACUAAAAUAAUGGAUCUGGAGUAAACUCUUCCUAUCAGUUCUUUGCUAGCUGUAGUGUUCCUAAUGCAGCAGUACACACACUGAUGGGGAAGCAGAAGUCAGCAACUUCAUUGCUCAAAUGGCAAUGAUCUCUGCUUCUCCUCCACAGGCCCAUGUGUCUUUUAUUUCAAUUUACAACAGUAAGUCUCAGCAGAGAAAGCCUCCCAUGGAUUAACAACCAGUUUGGGUCCUUUGGGCUGCCUCUUGUAUCCACAAUCCUUCCCGCCCAGUUAUUAAUCUCCAGGAAAUGCCUUGCACUCAUACAUGGCUGCAUGGGAAUGCAAUAAAAGCACACACACAUUUGCUACGUGUUUGCUAACUGCUGAAAAGCAGCAAAAAAAUGGUGAUCCUUUUUUUUUCUUUUGAAGCAUCACGAUUUCCUGGUAAAGGUAAUUGAUAAUGAAAUCUUAGCACAGAAAACUUUAACCCAGGCUCUGCCAGUCUGGCAAGAACCACUAAGAGGAAGGAUUUCUAUUGAUUUUUAAGAAAAAAGCUCCUGCAUGUUGUACUUUAAACCCAGAUGAGGGCUGACAAAGAAUUUGCUGUUACCUGGACUUUGCCAGCCACCUUCCUUUGUGGCAGAGGAAUGCUGUGGCACAGGAGCAGGACAAGGUAAACUACACAGCAGCAUUUAGAGGGGGAGGCUUCUCCUGUAGAUCACCUUCAUGCUGUCUCUACCCUCCUGACUGGCCUUUAGUCCCCGUGUGCAACUCUCAUCUUCUUCUUCUUUCCCUUUUAGCUGCUUUCUUGCCUAGUUCACCUUCUAGAUACACUUUUUUUCCUGAACAGCCUGCACAAAUGACAUCAUCCCUUUAGCAUAUUUCAUGGUCUCCAUGUGUCUAAAAACAAACAAGGAAGCAGUACAGCAAUCCAGAUAAAGUGGAAAGAAGCCUGGCAGGCCCCUCCUUGCUGGCUACAGAAAACCAUAAUCCAGGAAAGAUUCUGAAGCAUUUUCACAGGCUUUCUCCAACUAAUGUUUUUGUCAAGAGAAACAUGCAAACUAUUGGUGGACUUGUAAACAAAUGCUCUAUUUUUGAACUGAAAAUGUCAACAUCAACAUGACCUAAGCAAGCUGAAACAACUUACCAGAGCUUUGCAGUUUCAACUUCCCGAUUCCUCUUUCACAAAUUCUACCGUGGAGACACCAGACCUGCACGAUUUCCUCAGCAGCAUGGACAACUAUCACUAGGUGUCAGGCCUCUGCAGAUUUUAUCCAAAGAAACAGUUUGCCAUGACCUUUGGCAGGGACACAUCACACGGACGCUUCCUUGACACGUGGGCAAAAAAUGACAACAGUGUUGAUGCAAGGAAUAAUCCUGAGAAGCAGCUCAUGGUCAGGCCCUGGAAUAGCAGGCAUUCGAAAUACUCUGCAGGAUCAUGGCCCAAACGUAUUUCAUCCCUUUAUACCCAUGAUCCAUAUAUGCUUGUUGUACACAGAUGAGAGUUGUUUGGGUGGGGGUUUUUUUUGUUAGCUCUGUUUUUUUUAUGACAAUAUGCUGUUGAAUCUCUAUCCAUCCAUUCCUCAAACCAGCAGAGAUAGGAAGAAACCAGUGCUGAGGUGCCCUCAAAGGCCAUUAACAUUCAUAUGCAAAAUACUACAUAAUGUCCUUUCAUUUCAGCACAUUAUGAGUGAAGCAAUAACAAAGGGUAAGGAGUAGGUCUUUAUGUGUCUCUAAGACUUCUAUCUGCUUCCGUUUCCCAUUGUUUCUGCUCUCAUAUAAAUUAACUAACUGGGAUGUGCAGAUUGCUCACUAAGCUGCUGUCAUUGUGAGGGGUAUCCUGCAUUUAUCCAACUCCCAGCAACAGCUUACAAAUUAGCAAGGCUAUGACUUACUAAACAGGUUUGCAUCUGAAGCCAAGAAGAUUAUGUAAACUUGUACAGGUUUUCCAUACCUUGGAAAGAACACAACACACACCGAAUAAAAUAUGCUACGCACCUUCCCUCUACUAAAAGGAACUAUUCCUGUGUCCAUUUUCAAUAAAACUCCAUGAAGAUAAAAAGCAUUAUCCUUAUUUUCUCUACUGCUUUGACCUUUUUGCUGCAGUUCCCACCUAAUCUUUCACUGAUGCUCCUGUUUUAAUAUUAAAAACUCAGAAAUUAAAAGAAAAAAAAAGGCCACACCAAAAUGAACACCUGAGGAUAAAAAUACUGUUUCUUCAAGUGCUAAGCCAUUUAAGAAGUAUCCCCCACCAUGGUUUUUAAAUGUUCUAGUUAGCUAAUCACUUUCUUCUGUUGCUGCUAUUAACAGACAUGGCAGCAGUUGUAGACAGCCCAGUGUUAACAGAUAUUCCUACAGUAUCAGCAGUAUAGCAAAGUUUGCCAACUUAACCCACAUUACGAGUAGCAUUAAUGACAGCAGACAUUGGUUAAUAUGCACAAUAGUUUAUAGAUUCAGAUUUCUCACUAAGGCGCUAGAGCUUGGAGAGGCCGUGCUCUUUAGGUGCAGGCUACUGCUUUAGUCUUGUUUCUUAAAGAAAAGGGACUUGUAUGUCCUUAUCUGUCUCUCAUCCCAUUCAACAGCUCUUGAACUGAACAACUAGUUUUGACCACAUAGAACCCUAAAAGGAAAAUUACAUUUCUGCCAGUUUUGUGAAUGUAAGGAAGCAUUCGGAUAGGAAGGGCCGGUGAGCGUCCUGAGGGAAGGCCAGGCAUGCCCUGCAGCAGGCCUUGCAUAUUGUUAGACAUCAGAGAAAUCCCACGAGGGAGCAAGAGACAACUCAAACGUCUCAGUAACUGGGAAAAAAACCUCAUUGCGAGUUUACGACCAACCACAAGACAUGAAUCUGCACGGAGGCAGGUUUUGCCAGUUCUGGUGCUCUCAGAACUACUCAUUUCAUUGAGAGAGGACGACUCACAAAACAACCAAGACAAUUACAUAGCAAGGCUGCACAAUAAUGGCAUAUUUCAAACUGUGACAUGUGUUUUUGCAUUGAAGAAAAGGGUGAGUAGCUCACACACAUCUUGAGGAAUGCUGAAUGAUGCAGGGUUCUGUAAUUUAACAAGUCUGUUCCACAACAUUUCAGGCAAAGUAGCUGCAAGAGGGAGAAAGGCCCAUCUGUUUGGAAUGGGGUUAAAUCAGAGUCCAAUUUAUUCAUUUUUACAAGCCAGUACUUUCUACCUUAACUGAGUUUUGCCUGAUUAGACACUGCAUGCAGAGAAUCCAUAAUGGGUAGUGGCUUAUGAUAUAUGGUAAAAACAGAUUUUCCUGCUCCAGCAAAUACAUCAUUAUCCCUAUUUAUGUAUUGGUGCUAGUCAGCAAAAAAAGCUACUUGGUGUGAUUUG
rnacentral:lncRNA from 1 species